AUGAACGCUGGCGGCGUGCCUAAUACAUGCAAGUCGCGCGAACAGACGAGGAGCUUGCUCCUCUGACGUUAGCGGCGGACGGGUGAGUAACACGUGGAUAACCUACCUAUAAGACUGGGAUAACUUCGGGAAACCGGAGCUAAUACCGGAUAAUAUAUUGAACCGCAUGGUUCAAUAGUGAAAGACGGUUUUGCUGUCACUUAUAGAUGGAUCCGCGCCGCAUUAGCUAGUUGGUAAGGUAACGGCUUACCAAGGCAACGAUGCGUAGCCGACCUGAGAGGGUGAUCGGCCACACUGGAACUGAGACACGGUCCAGACUCCUACGGGAGGCAGCAGUAGGGAAUCUUCCGCAAUGGGCGAAAGCCUGACGGAGCAACGCCGCGUGAGUGAUGAAGGUCUUCGGAUCGUAAAGCUCUGUUAUUAGGGAAGAACAAAUGUGUAAGUAACUAUGCACGUCUUGACGGUACCUAAUCAGAAAGCCACGGCUAACUACGUG
rnacentral:rRNA from 1 species